ensembl:miRNA Gm24342 predicted gene, 24342
CCAUGAUUGUGCAUGUGUAUAUAGUUGUGUGUGCAUGUUCAUGCAUGUAUUUGCAUAUACAUAACAUACACGUAUAAACGCAAGCACACACACAUAGAGACA